UACGGGGGGGGGCAAGCGUUUGUUCGGAAUUACUGGGCGUAAAGGGCUCGUAGGUGGCCAACUAAGUCAGACGUGAAAUCCCUCGGCUUAACCGGGGGAACUGCGUCUGAUACUGGAUGGCUAGAGUUUGGGAGAGGGAUGCGGAAUUCCAGGUGUAGCGGUGAAAUGCGUAGAUAUCUGGAGGAACACCGGUGGCGAAGGCGGCAUCCUGGACCAACACUGACGCUGAGGAGCGAAAGCCAGGGGAGCAAACGGG
rnacentral:rRNA from 1 species